rnacentral:piRNA from 1 species
UGAGGUCCUUUCCAAACAAGGAUUGAGCC